GAAGCUAAAAGUAAACUGAUGUUUAUGGCCAAAAGUAAAUGAAACACAAAAAGACAUUUUACACUGUAAAAAUUAGUUUUAAAAAUGUAUUACUGUAAUUAUUAAUACAAACCAGGGUUUCUAAUUUUGAUAGCUAAAGACUUUCUAGUCUGCAAAACGUCACAGUAUUAAGUUCAUAAGCUUUUUCAUUCUGUCUCUACGGGGAUUCCUUGCUUCUUCUCCUCUAAAAACUGCUUUUGUCACCUCUCCAUGUUGAUGGGGACAUGGUAUCCUUGCAAAAUGUAGCUCUGUGACAGAAUGGGGAGUUAUAUACAGCUCUAGAAAUUUCAUAUUGAUUUUAUGUUCAGGAAUAAAUAUUUUUUUCUUUGAUGUCUUGCCUUGAGACUGGAAAAGAAGCUGAGUCCUGGUGGAAAGUGAUACAAUAUCUUCACAUGCUAAAUGAUGAUGGAGGCUUGUGACAGUUCAGGGAAUGAAGUGAUUUCAUCCUGGGAAGAUCAAUUAAAUUACUGCUUCCUCUGUGUUACUACAUGAAGACUGGAAUAAACAGACGUUUUAACUACUGUGAACCAGAGACAAUGAGAAAAAAGUGGGCAGCACUGUGAAUAAAAUCAGAAUCACAGAACUGCAGUAUGGCUGAGGCUGCAAGGGAUCUAAAGAAGUCAUCUGGUCCAGCUCUGCUCAAGAUGGGUCACUAAGAGCCAGUUGUUCACGACCAUUGUCC